CGCAGGAACACUCACCUGAAGGCCCAUCCAUAGCCAUCUCGGCACCAGCCCUGAGUUGGGACACGUCACCCCAAGUAUCAGGCAUUCCGAGUAGGGUCCCCAUGGAUCCCUUGGGAUGAUGCUGACCUGUCACCAUGGAAUAUCACGGACAAUCAGAGCCUUCUGCACCCUUUCAUCCAUCUCAGAAACAACACCAGCAAACCUGGCGAGCCAACAAGUGGCUAACAAUGCUCAGGAAAUGGGGCCACUACCAGCAAGCAAGAAGGUGGG